AUGGAGAGUUUGAUCCUGGCUCAGGAUAAACGCUGGCGGCGUGCCUAAUACAUGCAAGUCGAACGAGGGAAGGCAAGCUUGCUUGCCGGAACGAGUGGCGAACGGGUGAGUAAUACAUAAGCAACCUGCCUGUAAGGACCGGGAUAAUGCCUGGAAACGGGUACUAAAACCGGAUAGGCAUAGAUGGGGCAUCCCAUUUAUGUUAAAGGUGAGAGACACAAACAGAUGGGCUUAUGGCGCAUUAGCCAGUUGGUGAGGUAACGGCCCACCAAAGCGAUGAUGCGUAGCCGGCCUGAGAGGGUGAACGGCCACAUUGGGACUGAGACACGGCCCAGACUCCUACGGGAGGCAGCAGUAGGGAAUUUUCGGCAAUGGGGGGAACCCUGACCGAGCAACGCCGCGUGAGUGAAGAAGGUUUUCGGAUUGUAAAGCUCUGUUGCAAGGGAAGAACGGCACAUAGAGGAUAUGUGAGUGACGGUACCUUGCGAGGAAGCCACGGCUAACUACGUGCCAGCAGCCGCGGUAAUACGUAGGUGGCGAGCGUUAUCCGGAAUUAUUGGGCGUAAAGGGUGCGUAGGCGGCCUUUUAAGUUUAAGGUGAAAGCGUGGGGCUUAACCCCAUAAAGCCUUAGAUACUGGGAGGCUAGAGUACUGGAGAGGAAAGUAGAAUUCCAUGUGUAGCGGUAAAAUGCGUAGAUAUAUGGAGGAAUACCGGUGGCGAAGGCGGCUUUCUAGACAGUAACUGACGCUGAGGCACGAAAGCGUGGGGAGCAAAUAGGAUUAGAUACCCUAGUAGUCCACGCUGUAAACGAUGAAUGCUAAGUAUCGGGGCGACCCGGUGCUGCAGCCAACGCAAUAAGCAUUCCGCCUGUGGAGUAUGCACGCAAGUGUGAAACAUAAAGGAAUUGACGGGGGCCCGCACAAGCGGUGGAGUAUGUGGUUUAAUUCGACGCAACGCGAAGAACCUUACCAGGCCUUGACAUCCCUUGCAGAGGUGUAGAGAUACAUCCGAGGUUAUCAAGGAGACAGGUGGUGCAUGGUUGUCGUCAGCUCGUGUCGUGAGAUGUUGGGUUAAGUCCCGCAACGAGCGCAACCCUUGUCUUCAGUUACCAUCAUUAAGUUGGGGACUCUGAAGAGACUGCUGGUGAUAAACCGGAGGAAGGUGGGGAUGACGUCAAAUCAUCAUGCCCCUUAUGGCCUGGGCUACACACGUACUACAAUGGCGUAUACAACGAGGAGCGACACUGCGAAGUGAAGCAAAUCUCUUAAAGUACGUCUCAGUUCGGAUUGAAGUCUGCAACCCGACUUCAUGAAGCUGGAAUCGCUAGUAAUCGCGGAUCAGCAUGCCGCGGUGAAUACGUUCUCGGGCCUUGUACACACCGCCCGUCAUACCAUGAGAGUUGGCAAUACCCGAAGCCGGUGGCCUAACCGCAAGGAAGGAGCCGUCGAAGGUAGGGCUGAUGAUUGGGGUCAAGUCGUAACAAGGUAUCCCUACGAGAACGUGGGGAUGGAUCACCUCCUUU
rnacentral:rRNA from 1 species